GACGAACGCUGGCGGCGUGCUUAACACAUGCAAGUCGAACGAAGUGGCGAACGGGUGAGUAACGCGUAAUCAACCUGCCCUUCAGAGGGGGACAACAGUGGGAAACGACUGCUAAUACCGCAUACUGAAGGAGGGGAUUGCGUCUGAUUAGCUGGUUUGGGGGGUAACGGCCCACCAAGGCGAUGAUCAUUAGCCUGGCUGAGAGGAUGAACCGCCACAUUGGGACUGAGACACGGGCCAGAACCCUACGGGAGGCAGCAGUGGGGAAACUUCCGAAAUGGACGGAAGUCUGACGGAGCAACGGCGCGGGGGUGAUGACGGCCUUCGGGUUGUAAAGCUCUGUUAAUCGGGACGCGGUACCGGAAUAGAAAGCCACGGCUAACUACGUGCCAGCAGCCGCGGUAAUAC
rnacentral:rRNA from 1 species